GACUGCAUCAUUUUGUCCCUUAGGGACUGAAUCCUGACUGAACACCAGUGAUGCUAAUUUUGUGGAGAUCUAUUUAUUUAUUGGCCAUAUCCCUCCUGCAUAGCAUUGCCUGGGAUUCCCUGACACAGAAAGCAGCUCCAUGUAAGAGCACAGGUUCUACAUGAUCCAUGGAAAACAGUCCCACUUGCUGACAGGAGAGUGAGAGUAACCUAGAUGCUGCAUUGACUUAUCGGUGAAAAGGCUGCACAUCAUUGGUGAGGGAUGAAAGACAAACUGGACUGUUGGAACCCUGAAUGGAACCUUGGACUCUUGGAACCAUGCAUUAUUGGAUAUCAAAAGUGCAGUGCUGGAGCCUUGAUCUACAGGAACAGAAACAAGACUUGCCUGGCACUGAGACAUUAAUUCUCAAAAAAAAAAAAAUCGUUCUAAACUGAUCAACACCCUGGAAUUCACCAGGAGCUGCUACCUACUAAGACAAUUUUCCACUGCUUCUUCUCUCCUCCCCGAGCCACCUCUUCCCAUCUGCUGCCUGCUGUCAUUUUUUCCAGUUCCACCCAGGCCUUGCCUCACUCCCUAGCCUGUCCCAGAAUUGGAACAAUGGCUUUUUGAUCUACAAUCAAAACCUAUCAUUUGAUCAACAAUCUGCAGGCAAACAGCUCUCUGGAGAGAGGUCUACAUGGUGGUUGCCUGAACUCACAUCUGUGCAGAUUCUAACCUCUUGGCGUGCUUGGGCUGCUCACAUUAAGGAAAAGGUGUGAGAAGGCCACCUCAGAGUGCUGGCCAGCUUCAGAUGCAGUUGCAACUGCAACCAAUUUGGAAGCAGCUGGAUUUCUUUGGCCACAUCUGCCUGUGUUGGACACCGUUAAAUCCUAGUGGCAGUCCUGGAUCUGGGACUCUGUAGAAAACUUCUGGCUUUUGCUGAUUACUGUGCUGACUCCUGAGUAUUUUGGGGAGGCAGACUCAUCGUGGUGCUGGCAUUUUCCCCUGAGAAGAAAGAGAAUACAUUUGUUCCUCUAGGGCUACAACAGCAAGCACUGCCUGUAAGGAGGAUCUGAGAUAUUGUAUAGUAUUGGACUUGAGUGACUCAGAAGGAUGAUGCUUACUGGGCUGAAGGUGACAAAGAAUAAUCCCAUUUCUCCUGCAUUUUGCUAGUCAGCAAAGUGUCAAAAGUAUUGCUGGUUGGAUGGGACUGAGACCAGAUCAGUAUUUAACAUAAACCCCCAGAAGGCUGUGGAGAAGAUCUUUGAGACAGGGAUGGAUGGUUGUAAGUGUGAGCUUAUAUGUGAGGACAACUGAAACCAGUGAGGAGGAUGCCAGAUGCUAAUUGAAGGAGAAAAAGUGUUCUGCCAUCUAUAAUGUUUUACUGAGGUUCUCCUUUCCAUCACCUUAGGAGAAUGUUUUGUGUUUUAAAGGCCAGCAGGGGUAUCCAAUCUAAGACAUUGUUGGAAGUCCAUGACCUAAUCCAAGUAUUCCAGAGCAGCUUCCUGGAAAGGAGAAUUUUAAGAACAAGAACAGAAAAAAAGCCUGGUAAAAGCUGUAACUGGCUCUGCCUGUCUGUGCUAUGACAGCCAACAAUAUCACCUGCUGAUGAUUUACAGAUUCCUGGGAGAUGUGUUGUUGAGUCUCAAAGAACUGGAACAAGAACAACUCGCUCAAAUUGCUUCCCGUGAAACAGCAUAAUGUAUCCACCCGCUUCAUACUCUCCUAAUUUAGGACAUGUGUAGUCUGUAAUGAUGAACUGGCCAACUGAUUAUGUUGCUGUAAAUCUCGUUCCCCACCUUACAAAACACCCCUGAUUGACCCCUUUUUCAUGAUAGCUCAGUGCAGCAUUUCCUGUCCACUUCUUGAGAGGGAGAAAAUCAGCACCAGCCACUUGCAAAAGCACUUCUCAAGAGUGAAAAAUGUAACAUUUUGUUGUUUUUAUUUCACUGGGCAGCCUUUUCAAGUUCUGUGACCCACUUUUGCUUCCCUUUAAAUUGUGACCAAUAUUUAUUUAUCCCUCUUUGAACACAAUAACUUAAUUAAGAAACUAAUCAGCAGUGUUGAACUGAUCUUUCAACUCACCCCUGUCACUGAAAGAAAUUUAUGAAUGCAUAAUACAAGAAAGAUCCUAUUAUCUAAAAAGCUUUCUACUAAAAGCAUUUGGCAUCUAAAAAGUAAGACUUGAAAUUCUGUGCUAAAUUUAUAAUGUAAAUAUGUGAACCUUAUUUAUAGAGUCUGAAAUGUACCCCAACUGAAUCUAACAAUUUUUUUCUGGAUUUUUUAUUAAAAAUAAAAUUGUCACAAGUUUAAA